rnacentral:lncRNA from 1 species
UUAUCUUGAUGAUGAAGAUCAUGAUGGACUUCAAGAUGAAAUAAAGAUGUUGAUAAUGAUCAAUUUACCAAUUGCAUUGUGCUUCACUUAUUGAAAGAUUAAAUCUAUACAUCUAUCAUAAAUCAAAUCAUGUAAUAAGCUUAGUUCAGUAACUGGCAUAUUGCACACAGUAAUGUAGUCACCAACCCAACUAUGUUUUGAGCCACUUGUGUGGCACUAAGAUGCAACCACUGCAGAAUGAAAGUGAACACCAAUUGCCCACAAGAAGAACCUGAUGAUGAUCAACUUCUUUGGACAGUGAGAAUCCUUUUGGUGAUACUGUUGAGCAAGCUGAGAAGCCACAGCACAUUUGGCUCCAAGUUUCUGUCCUUUUUCUUGGCUUUAAAGAGCCUGAAGCAGAUUCCUGCAUCCUUCUCUCUCC